ensembl:lncRNA
GUUGUGUAUAUAAAGAACGAUCAGCAGUUUUCAGCCAGCCAGAAGCGGUCUAUACACAUGAGGGAGAGAUGGAGACUAUGAAGACUCUGCUGAAGGUUUAUCUGCUGCUGCUGAUCGGACCUCCUUUCACUUUGGAACAAACAAUGGCCCAGUACAUCACUGAGCUCCAGGUGUCUCUAGAUGAAACUGAAGAGACGUAUCUUUGUAGUCAAGGUUUCAGCAAAAUUGAUGUUGACCUGAACAAAGGAGCUGAAGGAAAAUACAUCUACCUUUGGUACAAAAAAGGCAGCAGCUCAGCAAUCACCAGGAUUCAGCUUACAUUCAAUGAUGACAUGAGCAGGGGUCUGAUCACUGCAGGUUACCAGAAGAUUUACAAAGACCUCAAUGCCGGAGCAGGCGGAGACUACAUUUACCUGUGGUACUACAGAGGUAACUCGGAGUACGAUGUUCCCAUUGUGGACCUCCAUGUCUCCAUAGAAGCAGAAGAUGAAGCCCAGAAGCUUUCAUCAGGAUGGGAGAGACUGGCCUGUGAUCUGAACCGGAAAGCUGGAGGAAAAUGGAUCUAUCUGUGGGUUAAGAGGGAGACACCAACCUACAUCUGUGACAUCACUGCCAAUGCUGACUAUGAUGGAGAUGCUCUCUACUUCCUGAACGGCUAUAUCAGAGUGGAUGAAGACACCAACAGAGGUGCAGGAGGAUCCUUCGUCUUCAUCUGGUACCGUCAGACCACUAACUCUCAAAGAGCCAUUAAAUAUCUGGAAAUCUCCAUUAACGAUAUAGAGAAGCAGAUGUUUCCAAAUCUGGGCUUUACAAGGGUAACUACUGAUCUAAGCAAGGGGACAGAAGGAAGUUCCGUGUACCUGUGGUACGACAAAGAUGUUGACGACGGUCAACCCAUCAAGGCGGUCUCUGUGAUGGUCAACACAGGAGCUGUGGAGCGGUACAGAAAUGCCGGGGUCUUCAUCAUUUCAAAAGACCUCAACAGUGGGAACGAAGGAAACCUUCUGUACCUGUUCUUCAGUCGCUGAGAGUCACGAUGGUAAAAGAGCUGAGCAUGCUCACUGGGCAGAAACCGAAGAAUCAAAGGUGUUCCUGUCUAAUCAGUUUGAUGUUUUUUCUUUCCUUUCUGAAAUUAUGUUCACCCACUGUGAUCUCAGAUCUUUGACUCCAACAAUGAUCAUUGAUCCUACAAUUAAUCUGUUUGAUUAGCUCUGUCUCAAUAAAGUUUCAAUAAAGUCUCUUCAGCACAUGAAAUACCUUUGUGUCAUGUGUAUAAGCUUGCAGCAUGUUAAGAGAAUCUGAAGAAUAAUAAAGGGAGAGAAGAGAUCAG